rnacentral:rRNA from 1 species
GACAGAGGUGCCGAGCGUUAGGCGGAAUCACUGGGCUUAAAGCGUGUGUAGGCGGGUCCGUAAGUACCUUGUGAAAUCCCACCGCUCAACGGUGGAACUGCUCGGUAUACUGCGGGCCUUGAGCCAGCUAGGGGCAACCGGAACAAACGGUGGAGCGGUGAAAUGCGUAGAUAUUGGGAGGAACACCGGUGGCGAAGGCGGCUACCUGGACCGGUUCUGACGCUGAUGCGCGAAAGCGUGGGUAGCAAACAGG